GUCAAGACAGUCAUGCAAGAUAACCUUUACGCUACCUUGAAAUAUUUUGGAUCUUAUUCAAAGGAGCUUGCAACAAAAAUGUUCAUUCUGAAAAAUGCUCGAAAUUAUUCAGAGCCAGAACCUUACAUCAAUGCUGAUCAUUUUGGGGAAGAGGAUUCAUCAUCUCAACUUGAAGAAACCCUGACUUGGUUUAUAAAGAUGACUCAACU
rnacentral:lncRNA from 1 species